CAGUAGCCGCGGUAAUACGAGGGGGGCAAGCGUUGUUCGGAUUUACUGGGCGUAAAGCGCACGUAGGCGGAUCGAUCAGUCAGGGGUGAAAUCCCAGAGCUCAACUCUGGAACUGCCUUUGAUACUGUCGAUCUGGAGUAUGGAAGAGGUGAGUGGAAUUCCGAGUGUAGAGGUGAAAUUCGUAGAUAUUCGGAGGAACACCAGUGGCGAAGGCGGCUCACUAGUCCAUUACUGACGCUGAGGUGCGAAAGCGUGGGGAGCAAACAGGAUUAGAUACCCCCGUAGUCCCUGUCUCUUAUAC
rnacentral:rRNA from 1 species